rnacentral:snRNA from 2 species
GAGUGUGAGGGCAAUCUGACUUUGACCUCUAUCACUGCUCUGAUCUUCAGAGUUGAUUUAAUCUUUCUGGUGGCUAGGAGGGUAUCCCCUUCCUCUCUCAUUCCAUGAGUGCUCAGGAGAGGAGGACUAUCUUCCCCCAUGAAGGAGGACCAUUCUUUAGUCAAGGGCAUAUGAGUAGUUGUGCUCCCCUGCUGGAACCUCUAAACAAGCCUUCAAGGUCCAUUUUCAGGAGAACAUAUGGUAGUCAUACCUCCAAGACUCCAGACACAUCCAAAUGUGGUGCUGCAUGUGUCUGUCUGCCUUUCUUA